GGCCCCAUCGUCUAGCGGCCUAGGACUCCGGCCUCUCACGCCGGCAACAGGGGUUCGAGUCCCCUUGGGGUCA
rnacentral:tRNA from 1 species